rnacentral:rRNA from 1 species
AACGCGAAGAACCUUACCUGGGCUCGAAAUGUAGUGGAAUCCGGCAGAAACGUCGGCGUCUAGCAAUAGACCGCUAUAUAGGUGCUGCAUGGCUGUCGUCAGCUCGUGUCGUGAGAUGUUGGGUUAAGUCCCGCAACGAGCGCAACCCUUAUCUUCAGUUGCUACCAUUUAGUUGAGCACUCUAGAGAAACCGCCGGUGACAAGCCGGAGGAAGGCGGGGAUGACGUCAAGUCCUCAUGGCCCUUACAGGUUGGGCUACACACGUACUACAAUGGUGGUGACAGUGGGUUGCGAAGUCGCAAGAUGGAGCCAAUCCCCAAAAACCAUCUCAGUUCAGAUUGUACCCUGCAACUCGGGUGCAUGAAGUUGGAAUCGCUAGUAAUCGCAGAUCAGCACGCUGCGGUGAAUACGUUCCCGGGCCUUGUACACACCGCUCGCGA